rnacentral:rRNA from 1 species
GGUUGUUGCUGGUCCUCAAACGGGGACAUGUGCACGCUCUGUUUACACAUCCACUCACACCUGUGCACCCUCCGUAGUUCUGUGGUCUGGGGGACCCUGUCUUCCUGCCGUGGUUCUACGUCUUUACACACACACUGUAAUAAAGUCUUAUGGAAUGUAUGCCGCGUCUAACGCAAUACAAUACAACUUUCAGCAACGGAUCUCUUGGCUCUCGCAUCGAUGAAGAACGCAGCGAAAUGCGAUAAGUAAUGUGAAUUGCAGAAUUCAGUGAAUCAUCGAAUCUUUGAACGCACCUUGCGCCCCUUGGCUAUUCCGAGGGGCAUGCCUGUUUGAGUAUCAUGAACACCUCAACUCUCAUGGUUUGCCGUGAUGAGCUUGGACUCUGGGGGUUUUGCUGGCCUGCGGUCGGCUCYCCUCAAAUGAAUCAGCCUCCCAGUGUUUGGUGGCAUCACGGGUGUGAUAAAUAUCUACGCUCGCAGUUGUCCGCCAGGUAACCUUUGGUAACAAAGGUUCGCUGGAGCUCACAGAUGUCUCUCCUCAGCGAGGACAGCUUUUUGAACGUUCGAUCUCAAAUCAGGUAGGACUACCCGCUGAACUUAAGCAUAUCAAUAAGCGGAGGAAAAGAAACUAACAAGGAUUCCCCUAGUAACUGCGAGUGAAGCGGGAAGAGCUCAAAUUUAAAAUCUGGCGUGCCUCUGGUCGUCCGAGUUGUAGUCUAGAGAAGCGUUUUCCGUGCUG